UACAGAGGUGGCAAGCGUUGUUCGGAAUUACUGGGCGUAAAGGGCGCGUAGGCGGCCUUCUAAGUCAGACGUGAAAUCCCCCGGCUUAACCUGGGAACUGCGUCUGAUACUGGGAGGCUUGAGUAUGGGAGAGGGAUGUAGAAUUCCAGGUGUAGCGGUGAAAUGCGUAGAUAUCUGGAGGAACACCUGUGGCGAAAGCGGCUCACUGGACCACAACUGACGCUGAGGCGCGAAAGCGUGGGGAGCGAACAGG
rnacentral:rRNA from 1 species